AAUGAAAAACCGAAUUAGCAUAAUGAUACCUUUUUCUCUUGCUGUCUAUUGCCCUGUCUCAUUCCAAUACAAAUGGAUUGUUGUUAAAUGAGCAUCGUUGCUUUAGAACUAAUGUUAUGAGCUUAGAAUGGAUUCUUACCAAUCCGAAGGUCAUCGCAAAUAACUACGAUCUAUACGUUUGUUAACUAAUUAGAAUGUUUUUUAUUUUCGUCACGACUUCAUCACUCACCUGGGUCAACAUUCCACUUAUUUAUGUGUGCUGAUAUUGCAAUGACAUAAGCAAAAUUGAAGAGCAAAAUGCGCAAUUGAUUCGAAUGAGUCUAUCCAACGUCAAGUUCUUUGGAGCGGGAGCUUUGGCUCGUGAUCUGCAACUGCUACUUUGUCAGAGAACCAUCUUUUGCUUCGGGAAGUCGGAAUAUUAAUCGAUGUGAUGUUUUGCCACCAAUUACCAAAGAAUUUGAUCUACAGUACAUUGCCAAAUGUCGACACACGACCAAAUGUCGGAAU